rnacentral:lncRNA from 1 species
CUAUGCCUAUCCGGCUAAUUCCACACCCAUGUGGAAUCACACUAGGCAACUUGCAGCUGCUGUAGUGGGAUCCACGAUCAAAGGCAAGGCUGAGGCACUGCAGCGGGCGAAGGCCGAGGGGACGAUCCACCCUGUUCGCAGUGGCUUUUACCUGACACACUCGACCCCAGCAGCUGACUUCCAACACAUCCGGCUCCCUUCCCAUUGACGGAGUCCUCCGC